rnacentral:tRNA from 1 species
CCGGGGCUUCUCCGUUUGACAGAGACNGGAGAGA